rnacentral:rRNA from 1 species
AGCCAAACUCUAGCCCAACCACACACAACCAAACAACCAAAAAAAUUUACUUCACUACAAAUUAAGCUAAAACAUUCUUCUGCCUUAGUAUGGGCGACAGAAAAGGCCUACUGGCGCGAUAGAGAUCCGUACCGCAAGGGAAAGAUGAAAUAGUAAUGAAAACCCAAGCGAAAAACAGCAAAGAUAAACCCUUGUACCUCUUGCAUCAUGAUUUAGUAAGAACAACCAAGCAAAAUGAAUUUAAGCUUGCCACCCCGAAACCCGAGCGAGCUACUUACAAGCAGCUACCCCCUGAGCGAACCCGUCUCUGUUGCAAAAGAGUGGGAUGACUUGUUAGUAGAGGUGAAAAGCCUACCGAGCCGGGUGAUAGCUGGUUGCCUGUGAAAUGAAUCUAAGUUCUCUCUUAAUUUUCUCUAGGCCCCCCCCCGGACACCCAACUACAACCACCAUGUGGCGAAUCAAGAGCAAUUUAAAGGAGGUACAGCUCCUUUAAAAAAGAAUACAACCUCCCCUAGCGGAUAACUACCCAACUGACCCUAGACUGUAGGCCCUCAAGCAGCCAUCAACAAAGAAUGCGUCAAAGCUCUACCCCAAAAAAAUUCAAAAACAACAGGACUCCCUUAUCUAUAACGGGCCAACCUAUAACAAUAGGAGAAUCAAUGCUAAAAUGAGUAAUCAGGGACCACCCUCUCAAGCGCAAGCUUACAUCACCACAUUAUUAACAAGCCUCAAACUAAUACCCCCAACCCCAAACAAGCCAAAUAUUAAACUUGCCCUGUUAGCCCAACUCAGGAGCGCCCAUUAGAAAGAUCCAAAUCUGCAAAAGGAACUAGGCAACCUCAAGGCCCGACUGUUUACCAAAAACAUAGCCUUCAGCCAGCCAAGUAUUGGAGGUGAUGCCUGCCCAGUGACACUCUGUUCAACGGCCGCGGUAUCCUAACCGUGCGAAGGUAGCGCAAUCAAUUGUCCCAUAAAUCGAGACUUGUAUGAAUGGCUAAACGAGGUCUUAACUGUCUCUUGCAGACAAUCAAUGAAAUUGAUCUUCCUGUGCAAAAGCAGGAAUAAACCCAUAAGACGAGAAGACCCUGUGGAACUUAAAAAUCAGCGGCCACCCCACACAACCCAAAACCUACCAGGCCUACGACCCCAAGUAAAACACUGGCCCGCAUUUUUCGGUUGGGGCGACCUUGGAGAAAAGCAGAUCCUCCAAAAACAAGACCACACAUCCUGACCAAGAACAACCCCUCAACGUACCAACAGCAACCAGACCCAAUAUAAUUGAUCAAUGGACCAAGCUACCCCAGGGAUAACAGCGCAAUCCCCUCCAAGAGCCCAUAUCGACAAGGGGGUUUACGACCUCGAUGUUGGAUCAGGACACCCUAAUGGUGCAGCCGCUAUUAAGGGCUCGUUUGUUCAACGAUUAACAGUCCUACGUGAUCUGAGUUCAGACCGGAGCAAUCCAGGUCGGUUUCUAUCUAUGACGGGCUUUUCCUAGUACGAAAGGACCGGAAAAGCAAGGCCCAUACUACAGGCAUGCCUUCCCUCUAAGUAGUGAACCCAACUAAACUACCAAACAGGACACACCAUUUUACCCAUCCUAGAAAAGGAUC